CCUGUCCAGCGAUACUGGGUGGGAGAGCGAGUGGGAGCGUGGGAGGGGGGCGCUUCCAGCAGGAGGGCACUGCCUCCCAGCGCUUGGUACAAUGCUGAGGGACUCUCCCCCCUCCCAGGUCAGAGUCGGCUUACUCUUACGGUAUCGUGCGGCCACGUCAGACUUGCAUACCACACGCUGCUGGGUUUUUCAGUUGCCCUGAAAGGAAAUCACCCAGGUGCAUCCCGGUGUGGAAGGCCAGGCCGGGCUUUGAUUUGGAUGUGGCAAGGUGUCUGCUGUGUAAGCCUGGUGGGCUAGAGGUACAAUGCAGAG
rnacentral:lncRNA from 1 species